AGAGUUUGAUCCUGGCUCAGAGCGAACGCUGGCGGCAGGCUUAACACAUGCAAGUCGAACGAGAAGCCGGGCUUCGGCCCGGUGGACAGUGGCGCACGGGUGAGUAACGCGUGGGAACCUGCCCAUGAGUGGGGAAAAACGGUUGGAAACGACCGCUAAUUCCGCAUACGCCCUACGGGGGAAAGGCUUCGGCCGCUCAUGGAUGGGCCCGCGUCCGAUUAGCUUGUUGGUGAGGUAAUGGCUCACCAAGGCGACGAUCGGUAGCUGGUCUGAGAGGACGAUCAGCCACAUUGGGACUGAGACACGGCCCAGACUCCUACGGGAGGCAGCAGUGGGGAAUAUUGGACAAUGGGCGAAAGCCUGAUCCAGCCAUGCCGCGUGAGUGAUUUGAAGGCCCUAGGGUUGUAAAGCUCUUUCGGCGGGGAAGAUGAUGACGGUACCCGCAGAAGAAGCCCCGGCUAACUCCGUGCCAGCAGCCGCGGUAAUACGGAGGGGGCUAGCGUUGCUCGGAAUCACUGGGCGUAAAGCGAGCGUAGGCGGCCGCGCAAGUCGGGGGUGAAAGCCCGGGGCUCAACCCCCGGAA
rnacentral:rRNA from 1 species